UCCUCUCCAUCCUCUUGCUCGAAAUAGCCUUCGUAGUCGCGCUCCUCCUCCUCCUCGCCUUCCUCGUGCACCCCAUCGAGAAGCGCGGCUUCAUCGUCGGCGUCUUCUGCAUCGUCUUCUGUAUCAUGAUCUACCUCGCUCCCCUCUCUGUCAUGGUAUGUACACUACAUUCAUCUCCAUUAUGAUAACAUAGAAUCUAAAUAACCAAAUUAAGGUUUUUAAUAUGCAUGCAGAAACUGGUGAUGAAGACAAAGAGCGUGGAGUACAUGCCGUUUUACCUAUCCUUGGCCUCCUUAGCCAACGGCGCUUGCUGGACAGCUUACGCCUUGAUCAAAAUCGAGUGGUUCAUUA
rnacentral:lncRNA from 1 species